rnacentral:rRNA from 1 species
CGAUGAGAACUAGCUGUUAGAGGUUUUAAUAUCUUUAGUGGCGCAGCUAACGCAAUAAGUUCUCCGCCUGGGGAGUACGGCCGCAAGGUUAAAACUCAAAGGAAUUGACGGGGGCCCGCACAAGCGGUGGAGCAUGUGGUUUAAUUCGAUGCAACGCGAAGAACCUUACCUACCCUUGACAUCCUUGGGAUCGAGUAGAGAUAUUCGAGUGCCGAAAGGAACCAAGAGACAGGUGCUGCAUGGCUGUCGUCAGCUCGUGUUGUGAAAUGUUGGGUUAAGUCCCGUAACGAGCGCAACCCUUAUACUUAAUUGCCACCAGGUUAUGCUGAGCACAUUAAGUAGACUGCCGGUGUCAAACCGGAGGAAGGUGAGGACGACGUCAAGUCAUCAUGGCCCUUAUGGGUAGGGCUACACACGUGCUACAAUGGACAAUACAGAGGGUCGCCAAGCCGCGAGGUGGAGCUAAUCUCUUAAAAUUGUUCUCAGUCCGGAUUGAAGUCUGCAACUCGACUUCAUGAAGUUGGAAUCGCUAGUAAUCGCAGAUCAGAACGCUGCGGUGAAUACGUUCCCGGGCCUUGUACACACCGCCCGUCACACCAUGGGAGUGGGUUGUACCAGAAGCAUGUAGGCUAACCGCAAGGAGGCCGCAUACCACGGUAUGAUUCAUGACUGGGGUGAAGUCGUAACAAGGUAACCGUA